rnacentral:rRNA from 1 species
CUGGUGUCAGCGCCCGCGGUAACACCAGCCCCUCGAGUGGUGGGGAUGAUUAUUUGGCCUAAAGCGUCGUAGCCGGCCGGGUAAGUUUCCCGUUAAAUCCAGCGUCUCAAGCGUUGGACUGCGGGAAAUACUGCCUGGCUAGAGAGUGGGAGAGGUCAGCGGUAUUCUGGGGGUAGGGGCGAAAUCCUUUGAUCCCCGGAGGACCACCAGUGGCGAAGGCUGCUGACUAGAACACGUCUGACGGUCAGGGACGAAAGCUGGGGUAGCGAACCGGAUUAGAUACCCGGGUAGUCCCAGCCGUAAACGAUGCAUGCUAGGUGUUUGGUUGGCCACGAGCCACCCCAGUGCCGCAGGGAAGCCGUUAAGCAUGCCGCCUGGGAAGUACGAUCGCAAGGUUGAAACUUAAAGGAAUUGGCGGGGGA